CCUACGGGUGGCAGCAGUGAGGAAUAUUGGUCAAUGGGCGUAAGCCUGAACCAGCCAAGUCGCGUGAGGGAUGAAGGUUCUAUGGAUCGUAAACCUCUUUUAUAAGGGAAUAAAGUGCGGGACGUGUCCCGUUUUGUAUGUACCUUAUGAAUAAGGAUCGGCUAACUCCGUGCCAGCAGCCGCGGUAAUACGGAGGAUCCGAGCGUUAUCCGGAUUUAUUGGGGUUAACGGGUGCGUAGGCGGCCUUUUAAGUCAGCGGUGAAAUUCUGUGGCUCAACCAUGGAAUUGCCGUUGAAACUGGGAGGCUUGAGUAUGUUAGAGGCAGGCGGAAUGCGUGGUGUAGCGGUGAAAUGCGUAGAUAUCACGCAGAACCCCGAUUGCGAAGGCAGCCUGCCAAGCCAUGACUGACGCUGAUGCACGAAAGCGUGGGGAGCAAACAGGAUUAGAUACCCUAGUAGUC
rnacentral:rRNA from 1 species